AGUGAUAAAAUCCGUCGUCAAGAGGGAAACAACCCAGACUACCAGCUAAGGUCCCUAAGUCUUACUUAAGUGGAAAACGAUGUGAAGUUACUUAAACAACCAGGAGGUUGGCUUAGAAGCAGCCAUCCUUUAAAGAAAGCGUAAUAGCUCACUGGUCUAGUGAUUUUGCGCGGAAAAUAUAACGGGGCUAAAGUAAGUACCGAAGCUGUAGACUUAGUUUACUAAGUGGUAGGAGAGCGUUCUAUUUGCGUCGAAGGUAUACCGGUAAGGAGUGCUGGAGCGAAUAGAAGUGAGCAUGCAGGCAUGAGUAGCGAUAAUUAAUGUGAGAAUCAUUAACGCCGUAAACCCAAGGUUUCCUACGCGAUGCUCGUCAUCGUAGGGUUAGUCGGGUCCUAAGUCGAGUCCGAAAGGGGUAGACGAUGGCAAAUUGGUUAAUAUUCCAAUACCAACAUUAGUGUGCGAUGGAAGGACGCUUAGGGCUAAGGGGGCUAGCGGAUGGAAGUGCUAGUCUAAGGUCGUAGGAGGUUAUACAGGCAAAUCCGUAUAACAAUACUCCGAGAACUGAAAGGCUUUUUGAAGUCUUCGGAUGGAUAGAAGAACCCCUGAUGCCGUCGAGCCAAGAAAAGUUUCUAAGUUUAGCUAAUGUUGCCCGUACCGUAAACCGACACAGGUGGGUGGGAUGAGUAUUCUAAGGCGCGUGGAAGAACUCUCUUUAAGGAACUCUGCAAAAUAGCACCGUAUCUUCGGUAUAAGGUGUGGUUAGCUUUGUAUUAGGAUUUACUCCGAAAGCAAGGAAACUUACAACAAAGAGUCCCUCCCGACUGUUUACCAAAAACACAGCACUCUGCUAACUCGUAAGAGGAUGUAUAGGGUGUGACGCCUGCCCGGUGCUCGAAGGUUAAUUGAUGGGGUUAGCAUUAGCGAAGCUCUUGAUCGAAGCCCGAGUAAACGGCGGCCGUAACUAUAACGGUCCUAAGGUAGCGAAAUUCCUUGUCGGUUAAAUACCGACCUGCAUGAAUGGCGUAACGAGAUGGGAGCUGUCUCAAAGAGGGAUCCAGUGAAAUUGUAGUGGAGGUGAAAAUUCCUCCUACCCGCGGCAAGACGGAAAGACCCCGUGGACCUUUACUACAGCUUGACACUGCUACUUGGAUAAGAAUGUGCAGGAUAGGUGGGAGGCUUUGAGUAUAUGACGCCAGUUGUAUAUGAGCCAUUGUUGAGAUACCACUCUUUCUUAUUUGGGUAGCUAACCAGCUUGAGUUAUCCUCAAGUGGGACAAUGUCUGGUGGGUAGUUUGACUGGGGCGGUCGCCUCCCAAAUAAUAACGGAGGCUUACAAAGGUUGGCUCAGAACGGUUGGAAAUCGUUCGUAGAGUAUAAAGGUAUAAGCCAGCUUAACUGCAAGACAUACAAGUCAAGCAGAGACGAAAGUCGGUCUUAGUGAUCCGGUGGUUCUGUGUGGAAGGGCCAUCGCUCAAAGGAUAAAAGGUACCCCGGGGAUAACAGGCUGAUCUCCCCCAAGAGCUCACAUCGACGGGGAGGUUUGGCACCUCGAUGUCGGCUCAUCGCAUCCUGGGGCUGGAGCAGGUCCCAAGGGUAUGGCUGUUCGCCAUUUAAAGCGGUACGCGAGCUGGGUUCAGAACGUCGUGAGACAGUUCGGUCCCUAUCUGCCGUGGGCGUAAGAAGAUUGAAGAGAUUUGACCCUAGUACGAGAGGACCGGGUUGAACAAACCACUGGUGUAGCUGUUGUUCUGCCAAGAGCAUCGCAGCGUAGCUAAGUUUGGAAAGGAUAAACGCUGAAAGCAUCUAAGCGUGAAGCCAACUCUAAGAUGAAUCUUCUCUAAGCUCUCUAGAAGACUACUAGUUUGAUAGGCUGGGUGUGUAAUGGAUGAAAGUCCUUUAGCUGACCAGUACUAAUAGAGCGUUUGGCUUAUCUUUAAUAAAGCAU
rnacentral:rRNA from 1 species